GAGAGUUUGAUCCUGGCUCAGGACGAACGCUGGCGGCGUGCCUAAUACAUGCAAGUCGAGCGAGCGAAACUAACAGAUUUACUUCGGUAAUGACGUUAGGAAAGCGAGCGGCGGAUGGGUGAGUAACACGUGGGGAACCUGCCCCAUAGUCUGGGAUACCACUUGGAAACAGGUGCUAAUACCGGAUAAGAAAGCAGAUCGCAUGAUCAGCUUUUAAAAGGCGGCGUAAGCUGUCGCUAUGGGAUGGCCCCGCGGUGCAUUAGCUAGUUGGUAAGGUAAAGGCUUACCAAGGCGAUGAUGCAUAGCCGAGUUGAGAGACUGAUCGGCCACAUUGGGACUGAGACACGGCCCAAACUCCUACGGGAGGCAGCAGUAGGGAAUCUUCCACAAUGGACGCAAGUCUGAUGGAGCAACGCCGCGUGAGUGAAGAAGGUUUUCGGAUCGUAAAGCUCUGUUGUUGGUGAAGAAGGAUAGAGGUAGUAACUGGCCUUUAUUUGACGGUAAUCAACCAGAAAGUCACGGCUAACUACGUGCCAGCAGCCGCGGUAAUACGUAGGUGGCAAGCGUUGUCCGGAUUUAUUGGGCGUAAAGCGAGCGCAGGCGGAAGAAUAAGUCUGAUGUGAAAGCCCUCGGCUUAACCGAGGAACUGCAUCGGAAACUGUUUUUCUUGAGUGCAGAAGAGGAGAGUGGAACUCCAUGUGUAGCGGUGGAAUGCGUAGAUAUAUGGAAGAACACCAGUGGCGAAGGCGGCUCUCUGGUCUGCAACUGACGCUGAGGCUCGAAAGCAUGGGUAGCGAACA
rnacentral:rRNA from 1 species